GCUGGCGGCGUGCCUAACACAUGCAAGUCGAACGCUUUGGAGCAAUCCAGAGAGUGGCGGACGGGUGAGGAACACGUGGGUAUCUACCAAGAGGUGAGGAAUACCAGCGAGAAAUCGCUGACAAAACCGCAUACGUUCGGGAGACCGAACAAAGUCGCAAGACGCCUUUUGAUGAGCCUGCGCCCGAUUAGUUAGUUGGUGGGGUAAAAGCUUACCAAGACUGCGAUCGGUAGCUGGUCUGAGAGGACGAUCAGCCACACUGGGAUUGAGAACGGCCCAGACUCCUACGGGGGGCAGCAGUGAGGAAUUUUCGUCAAUGGGGGCAACCCUGAACGAGCAACGCCGCGUGCAGGAAGAAGGUCUUCGGAUCGUAAACUGCUUUUCUGUGGGAAGAGAACGGACGGUACCACAGGAACAAGCCCCGGCUAACUACGUGCCAGCAGCCGCGGUAAUACGUAGGGGGCAAGCGUUGUCCGGAAUUAUUGGGCGUAUAGGGCGUGCAGGCGGUCACAUAAGUUUGGAGUGACAGUGCUUGGCUCAACUGAGCAAGGCCUCUGAAAAC
rnacentral:rRNA from 1 species